GGCGGGGCCGCCCCGGGUCGGGCCGGGCCGGGCCGCGCCCGCCCGCUGACAUGGCCGCGGGGCAGUGCCCGCCGCCCGCACCUGCACGGACGGCCCCGCGCUGAGCAAGCCUCGCUCCUUAUGCAUUACAAAAGGAGGUCCCUCAGCAAACCAGCGCUCAGCUCCAUCUCUUACAGCACGGGUGCGACGGGGAGCACACACAGGUUCAAAGUGUUUCUACCCCACCAGUGAAAACAGAUGCAGGCUAUUUCUGGCAAGAAAAAAAAAACAGUGGAAAGAUACAUAUUUUAAAAAAUUAACUGCUUAUAAAAAUCUUCUAUGACUGGAGCUCUACAUGAUGCAAAUGGCAAUCUUUUAGAUCGAAACAAAUCAGUGUGCACCCUCAGAAUGCAUUAAUACCAUUCACAAACAGGAUCGCAAAUGCCCUCUCAGCAUUUCACCAAAUAAAUACAGCAACAGAACCAAGUCCAAAAUACAUUAAUUUCAACAGACAUGUUUGUAUAUGUUCACAGCAGACAGAUUCCAGCAUUCUGUGCUUAACCUUAAGUAAAGGCUGGGCCUGCUUCAUACAAAUGUGGUAUAAAUACAUGCAAGUUUAGGAACCAGAACUCACACAGCAAAACUCCAGCUCUGACUGCUGUAAAAAAGCAGGUAGUAAAAGCUUAAUACCAGUAGCAUUAUGCUGUCUAUAUUGUUAAAAGUGAACUCUAUAAUUAAGAUGUAAAAUCGCUUGUGAGCAGUGAAUUAAAGAGCUCUGAAAUGUAGAGUAAAAUCCAAGCCCUCUGUAGAAACAUCAGAGACCAAAAAAAUCAUUUUUUAUCAAAUUUUAAAAUGAAGCAUUUAAUCAUGUUGUAGUAUUAGAAUACCCUCUUAAGUAACAAUUUGAUAAAUGUGGAUUUUGGAAUCAAAUAGGAACUUAAAUAAGAUGUGUUUAUUCUAUGUAUUUAUUACUACAUAAACUCAAAAUGCAGUUCCUAUAAAUUGAUUGCCAUGUGCACAUUAGCAAACUAUGAAAAUACAAAUGCAUUGUUUGUAGUGAGUCUCUGAGUGCCCAUUUAUAAUUUAUAUUUAAAAUUGCUAUUUCUCAAUAUUUUUCACUAAAAUGCCUUCAAAUCA